rnacentral:lncRNA from 1 species
AGGAAGUGGGCCCUCUCUUCCUCCAGAGUCACCCUGUGAUCCACCAGCAAGGGAGGCCACCAAAGGAAGGCGUCUGAUAAGAGAUAAGGCAGGAGACGAGCGACGUGCAGCAGAACCAAGCAAAUCAGAGCUCCAAAUCAGAGGAAGCAGACCAGGAACCCAAAGACUCGAAUACCCGAGCUCAGAAACACAGGUCGGAAUAAAUCAGCCACUGGGGUAGCAGAAUAAAUCAGCCAGUGGGAGGAGGACUCUUCCAGGCACGCUGCGUAUCUGGUGACUGUGUGAUUGUGCUGAUAUUUACCACUUAGAGGGAGAAAUCUCCGUUAAUUAUUUUUUCUCUUUUUGGCUCUUGGCUUUCUCUUUUUCUCUAUUUCUUUUUAGUACCGCUCUAUAAUGAGAAUAAAGUUAGGCAAUGGGGCGACUCCCUGGAGAAGGCCACACACUUUCUUGAGUGUGUUCUUUGGCUCUGCAAUAAACUUCUUUCCAGUUUCCUUUUCAAAGAGUUAAGCAAUGAAGGGAAAAAGAGGAACUACACAAUAGCGGCGGAGUGACGCAGUGAGAAAUAGUGCAACCGGGAGGACCACACAGCUAGAGAGUGAGCCAAGGGGGAGGACUGCAGAGAAGUCAGCCAGGGGGGAGGACCACGCAGCUAGAGAGUCAGCCAAGGGGGAGGACUGCAGAGAAUGACGGGGAGGACUACAGAGAAUGACAGGGAGGACUGCAGAGAAGUCAACAAGGGGGAGGACUGCAGCUUCCCAGUUAAGGCUCUAGGCCAAAGGUCACAGCUUUCUGGUUCUUAGCAGAAAAUCACCCUGGAGUGAGGUGGGUGAGGAGCAGAGGGGGUGGAGAGGAGUGGACUCCAGGCGCCGCAGACCUGGACUCAUGUGCCUGGAGCCACGGCUGUGGACAGAGAGACCCAGAGAAACUGAAAGCCAGAAGCUGGGGCAGGGAGUGAACACAAGAGUCGCAAGCGGCAGGAGGGUCUCUGUGAGUUCAGGGCCAGCCUUGUCUACAGAGCAAACACCAGACCAGCUAGGGCUAUGCAAUGAGACCCUGUGUCAACUUUUUUCAAAAAGGGAAGAAAAGAGAAAAGAGGGCAGUCCCUUAGAGAUGCUCGCAGACGCAGCUUUUUGCAGCGGCCUGGCUGGGACUGGCUUGAGGAGGGGACGGGGACACAGGGGAGGAUGUGGCGGUACCGCGGGAGGGAAGCGGAGGGCGGUCAGGGCCUCUCCGAGGGCCACAGGUUCCCCUAAAGGACCUAACACUGCAGUAAACGUUAAGGCCCUAGGGCUAGCAUGCGUGAAACCCUGGGUUCCGUCCUGGGCUCCAUCCUGCGCAUCGCCACAAAACAGACCUCCCCAAACCGUCACACCCCGUCAUCGUUUUCAUCGCCUCCCCAAACCCUCACACCCCGUCGUCGUUCUCACCGCCUCCCCAAACCUUCACAC